AGUUUCUCGCGUUCCCCUCCCAGCUCCACCCAUUUCCUUCUCUUUGAGGCCUCGUCAUUUCUUAUUCAAGCGGGUGCUCGCGGAGUACGCAUGCGUAUCUGUUGAAGUGGUCGCAAGUCUGUGGAAGGGGCUCAUUUCCCCGCGUUUAAGGCGCGCGCUGCGUUGGUCUCUUCGGGGGUCGGCUCUACCAAAGUGAGUGGCAAAAGCACGUCCAGUUCUGAACUUCAGAUGGCAGCACAACCUAUGGCUAAGUGGGGGCAGAGGUGAGGAGAACCCCAUGUCCCCGACUGAGAAGAGUUCGAGAAGACUGGAAGGUGACAAGUUACCCAAUCCCCAAGAAAGUAAAUAGGCUCUCUUACCUGGAACGCCCACCA